rnacentral:rRNA from 1 species
GAUGAACGCUGGCGGCGUGCCUAAUACAUGCAAGUCGAGCGAACGGACGAGAAGCUUGCUUCUCUGAUGUUAGCGGCGGACGGGUGAGUAACACGUGGAUAACCUACCUAUAAGACUGGGAUAACUUCGGGAAACCGGAGCUAAUCCCGGAUAAUAUUUUGAACCGCAUGGUUCAAAAGUGAAAGACGGUCUUGCUGUCACUUAUAGAUGGAUCCGCGCUGCAUUAGCUAGUUGGUAAGGUAACGGCUUACCAAGGCAACGAUGCAUAGCCGACCUGAGAGGGUGAUCGGCCACACUGGAGCUGAGACACGGUCCAGACUCCUACGGGAGGCAGCAGUAGGGAAUCUUCCGCAAUGGGCGAAAGCCUGACGGAGCAACGCCGCGUGAGUGAUGAAGGUCUUCGGAUCGUAAAACUCUGUUAUUAGGGAAGAACAUAUGUGUAAGUAACUGUGCACAGCGUGACGGUACCUAAUCAGAAAGCCACGGCUAACUACGUG